rnacentral:rRNA from 1 species
UGGGGAAUAUUGCACAAUGGGCGCAAGCCUGAUGCAGCCAUGCCGCGUGUGUGAAGAAGGCCUUCGGGUUGUAAAGCACUUUCAGCGAGGAGGAAGGUGGUGAACUUAAUACGUUCAUCAAUUGACGUUACUCGCAGAAGAAGCACCGGCUAACUCCGUGCCAGCAGCCGCGGUAAUACGGAGGGCGCAAGCGUUAAUCGGAAUUACUGGGCGUAAAGCGCACGCAGGCGGUUUGUUAAGUCAGAUGUGAAAUCCCCGGGCUCAACCUGGGAACUGCAUUUGAAACUGGCAAGCUAGAGUCUCGUAGAGGGGGGUAGAAUUCCAGGUGUAGCGGUGAAAUGCGUAGAGAUCUGGAGGAAUACCGGUGGCGAAGGCGGCCCCCCUGGACGAAGACUGACGCUCAGGUGCGAAAGCGUGGGGAGCAAACAGGAUUAGAUACCCUGGUAGUCCACGCUGUAAACGAUGUCGAUUUGGAGGUUGUGCCCCUUGAGGCGUGGCUUCCGGAGCUAACGCGUUAAAUCGACCGCCUGGGGAGUACGGCC